UUCAAUAAACCUGUACAGCCUAAUAAAAGACUAACCCGCCAAGGUAAUGGGCACUCAGAAGAGCUACGUUGUGUCAUCGCUGUUAUUCGACAUGGCGAUCGAACUCCAAAACAGAAGGUGAAACUAAAUGUUACAGAGGAGAAACUGUUAAACCUGAUGCUGAAGUACAAUGGUGGAAAGCCAAGAGCUGAGACAAAACUAAAAAGUGCAGUCCAGUUGCAGGACCUAUUAGAUGCAACAAGAAUGUUAGUUCCCCGUACAAGACCAGGUCGUGAGAGUGAUAGUGAUCCAGAAGACCUUGAACAUGCUGAGAAGCUUCGCCAAGUUAAAGCAGUUCUUGAAGAGGUUCUUUAGUACUUUCUCUUUUUUUGUUAAAUAUAUAGUCCGGAGAAAGUAUUACAUAGUAUCAUUUAGUAAUACUAUCUUAUAUCAUUUUUUUUUGUUGAAUAUACUAUCUUAUAAGUAAGCUAGAAUUAUGCAUUUUUUAUUUAAUUCAUGAGGUCAUUUUCUCACAGCAGAGAACCUUUUGGAAUGGCGCAGGGAGGAAAUUUCUCAGGGAUAUACAGGAAGGUUCAACUGAAACCGCUGAAGUGAGAUGGUGAAGGCGAAGAAGAAAGACCUGUAGAGGCCCUUAUGAUUCUUAAAUACGGCGGUGUUCUAACUCACGCUGGUAGAAAACAUGU